UACGGGGGGGGCAAGCGUUGUCCGGAUUUACUGGGCGUAAAGGGCGUGCAGGCGGAUAGAUCAGUCGAGGGUGAAAUCCUACAGCUUAACUGUAGAACUGCCUUUGAUACUGUCUAUCUUGAGUUCGGGAGAGGGAAGCGGAAUUCCUGGUGUAGCGGUGAAAUGCGUAGAUAUCAGGAAGAACACCGGUAGCGAAGGCGGCUUCCUGGCCCGAUACUGACGCUGAAGCGCGAAAGCGUGGGGAGCAAACAGGAUUAGAUACCCCAGUAGUCC
rnacentral:rRNA from 1 species